GACGAACGCUGGCGGCGUGCUUAACACAUGCAAGUCGAACGGAAAGGCCCCCACCUUGGUGGGGGUGCUCGAGUGGCGAACGGGUGAGUAACACGUGGGUGAUCUGCCCUGUACUUCGGGAUAAGCUUGGGAAACUGGGUCUAAUACCGGAUAGGACCAUGGUUUAGUGUCUCAUGGUGGAAAAAUUAUUGUUUUGGUGCAGGAUGAGCUCGCGGCCUAUCAGCUUGUUGGUGGGGUAAUGGCCUACCAAGGCGUCGACGGGUAGCCGGCCUGAGAGGGUGGACGGCCACAUUGGGACGGAGAUACGGCCCAGACUCCUACGGGAGGCAGCAGUGGGGAAUAUUGCACAAUGGGCGCAAGCCUGAUGCAGCGACGCCGCGUGGGGGAUGACGGCCUUCGGGUUGUAAACUCCUUUCGUUAGGGACGAAGCCACACCUUUUUUGGGUGUGGUGACGGUACCUUUGUUAAGAAGCACCGGCUAACUACGUG
rnacentral:rRNA from 1 species